rnacentral:rRNA from 1 species
AGUGAACGCUGGCGGUAGGCCUAACACAUGCAAGUCGAACGGCAGCACAGUAAGAGCUUGCUCUUACGGGUGGCGAGUGGCGGACGGGUGAGGAAUACAUCGGACUCUACUUUUUCGUGGGGGAUAACGUAGGGAAACUUACGCUAAUACCGCAUACGACCUACGGGUGAAAGCAGGGGAUCUUUGGACCUUGCGCGAUUGAAUGAGCCGAUGUCGGAUUAGCUAGUUGGCGGGGUAAAGGCCCACCCAGGCGACGAUCCGUAGCUGGUCUGAGAGGAAGAUCAGCCACACUGGAACGGAGACACGGUCCAGACGCCUACGGGAGGCAGCAGUGGGGAAUAUUGGAGAAUGGGGGCAAGCCUGAUCCAGCCAUGCCGCGUGGGUGAAGAAGGCCUUCGGGUUGUAAAGCCCUUUUGUUGGGAAAGAAAAGCAGCAGGUUUAUACCCCGCUGUUCUGACGGUACCCAAAGAAUAAGCACCGGCUAACUUCGUG